UACGGAGGGGGCUAGCGUUGUUCGGAAUUACUGGGCGUAAAGCGCGCGUAGGCGGUUCUUCAAGUCAGAGGUGAAAGCCCGGUGCUCAACAUCGGAAUUGCCUUUGAAACUAGGGAACUUGAAUCCAGGAGAGGUGAGUGGAAUUCCGAGUGUAGAGGUGAAAUUCGUAGAUAUUCGGAAGAACACCAGUGGCGAAGGCGGCUCACUGGACUGGUAUUGACGCUGAGGUGCGAAAGCGUGGGGAGCAAACAGG
rnacentral:rRNA from 2 species